CCCAAGAAGUGCUUAUGGGCGAACUUGGUUUAGGAUCUGCCGGUACCGUAGUAGACUGGAAGCAAUUCCUACGCGACGUCUGCGCGGAUCACUUCCGCCAGAAUCCCGUCAUACUAGGCGGUAAUGGGCACAUCGUUGAAGUUGACGAGUCGGUAUUUGGCAGAAGGAAAUACAACCGAGGGCGGCGCCUUCAAACCCAAUGGGUACUGGGGGGAAUAGAUCGAGAAACACAUUCGACGUUCCUCGUUGCUACCUUCAUACAUGAAGGAGUGCAUGUGGAGGCUGCGGUAUGGGGGCCCGCACGCACUCCACCACAUUGUGGAGCAUAUACAGGACGCCUACUCGUUAUGAUUGUACGUUUUCGGUGAAACUCGGUUUAUGCGGGGGGCAUCCUACACGUCUCAGAUGGUGUUGGGACCUAAAAAUCUUUUGGUUUAACGCAAGAUUCGGUUUUGAGCGCGUUUGGGAUUCAGAAUGUUGGCUGUAAUAUUAUGUACUGUCCAGCGUUAUAUGAGGUUAUCAUUGAACAUAAAAUGUAUGAAGCAUAUUUUUAAACAAAAAACUAGCAUGACUACGUUAAAGAAGUGUGAAGUAUGUGCAAGCGAUGUGUUGUUAUUAUUGGUGACGUAUUAGUAUCGAUAACAUGUUUUAGUAAUAAAAGGCAUGUACAGCUAGUUCAAAAAA